GUGAGAGAAAGAGUAACAGUGUAAUCAACCCACCUGGAUCUGGGAGUGAACGUGAAAAUAUCGUACUAUAAUGGCAAAAAGGAUACAGGGAUAAUAAAUUGUCUUGAUAUAUGGUCAGGCUAGUGAACUGUGAUACCGUAUCUCCAAAUUCAAACUGGAUUUGCAGUAGAUCAGAUAAACUUGAUGUAUGCUGCUUGCUGCCUCUUCAUGUGUAUAUUAGAGUUUCCUGUUUACAAGCACACAUCCUACUUUUACACAAAUGAUAGAUUUGAAAUAUUGAUACAACCCAAUAUUGAAAAUGGUUGUUUUUCAGAGUAAGAGUCAAAAUACAGUACAAAAUACAAAA